rnacentral:rRNA from 1 species
UACCUAGCGGCAGACGGGUGCGUAACAUGUGGGAAUCUGCCUUUUGGUUCGGAACAACAUGGGGAAACCUGUGCUAAUACCGGAUAAGUCCUAACGGAGAAAGUUUUAAUGCCAAAAGAUGAGCCCGCAUUUGAUUAGCUUGUUGGUGAGGUAAAAGCUCACCAAGGCUAUAAUCAAUAGCUGAUUUGAGAGGAUGAUCAGCCACACUGGGACUGAGAUACGGCCCAGACUCCUACGGGAGGCAGCAGUGGGGAAUCUUGCACAAUGGGCGAAAGCCUGAUGCAGCGAUGCCGCGUGAGUGAAGAAGGCCUUUGGGUUGUAAAGCUCUUUUGUCGGGAAAGAUAAUGACUGUACCCGAAGAAUAAGGUCCGGCUAACUUCGUGCCAGCAGCCGCGGUAAUACGAAGGGACCUAGCGUAGUUCGGAAUUACUGGGCGUAAAGAGUAUGUAGGCGGCUAGAUAAGUUAAUUGUGAAAGCCCAAAGCUUAACUUUGGAACUGCAAUUAA